rnacentral:lncRNA from 1 species
UUUUUCUUUCUCUUUCUUUUCUUUUUCAUUUAUUUAGAAAACUUGGUGCAUUUCUAAUGAAUUACGAGUAGAAGAUUGAUUUAUCUUUAUUUUCUUUUCUUUUCUUUUUUUUCCCUCAUUUAUUUAGGAAAAUGGGUGCAUUUAUAAUAUGAAUUACCUGUAUGCCCCCCAAAAGACUGUCUCGUAUAACGUUGGAUUGGGGAUUGUUGAUGCAUUUUUCUCCAUUUUGAUAUACUUAUCUGGGCAUGGAUUAGUCGUUUUAGCGGCUUGUGUGAAAAGAUUUGUAAAAAAUAUCCCAGACUUAUUAAUUAUCUUUAGCCGUAAAGUUAAUGCAUAAAUGAUUUGCAUAAUUUUUCGAAGACAGGAAGAGAUAUAUGUAUUUUGUUCAUUUACAUCUUUUCCUUUGCUGGACAGCGCGAGCCAGAGUUCAGGCCACCAAUGUCUGAGAUUGUCCAAAACCUCCUACACAUGAUACAGAGAGAUUCCUGAGCUCGAGUCAAGAUGGCAUGAGCUGAAGUUGGAGAGGAUUUCGUUUAACAGGACUCUUUAAACUCGUUGCCUGCUACUACUAGUGCUAGGUUGGGCCAUAUUUGCCCCAUUUUUUCUUGAGAACUGCAUAAUGUAGUACUAUAUGUACUGACUUCCUGAAGGAAAGUGUACUUGUUUUCUUUAGUCUGCUAGUCGAAUAUAAUUCUGUCAUUGCAUUUUCUGAUGUAACAAGCUAGUUGGUGUGUAAAAUUGUUAUAGUUGCAUCUUGUAUGGCUAAGAAAAUCAUUUUCAUUCCCCAUCGCUUCGUUGGGGAGAUUAAUUUUUCUUUCUCUUUCUUUUCUUUUUCAUUUAUUUAGAAAACUUGGUGCAUUUCUAAUGAAUUACGAGUAGAAGAUUGAUUUAUCUUUAUUUUCUUUUCUUUUCUUUUUUUUCCCUCAUUUAUUUAGGAAAAUGGGUGCAUUUAUAAUAUGAAUUACCUGUAUGCCCCCCAAAAGACUGUCUCGUAUAACGUUGGAUUGGGGAUUGUUGAUGCAUUUUUCUCCAUUUUGAUAUACUUAUCUGGGCAUGGAUUAGUCGUUUUAGCGGCUUGUGUGAAAAGAUUUGUAAAAAAUAUCCCAGACUUAUUAAUUAUCUUUAGCCGUAAAGUUAAUGCAUAAAUGAUUUGCAUAAUUUUUCGAAGACAGGAAGAGAUAUAUGUAUUUUGUUCAUUUACAUCUUUUCCUUUGCUGGACAGCGCGAGCCAGAGUUCAGGCCACCAAUGUCUGAGAUUGUCCAAAACCUCCUACACAUGAUACAGAGAGAUUCCUGAGCUCGAGUCAAGAUGGCAUGAGCUGAAGUUGGAGAGGAUUUCGUUUAACAGGACUCUUUAAACUCGUUGCCUGCUACUACUAGUGCUAGGUUGGGCCAUAUUUGCCCCAUUUUUUCUUGAGAACUGCAUAAUGUACUACUAUAUGUACUGACUUCCUGAAGGAAAGUGUACUUGUUUUCUUUAGUCUGCUAGUCGAAUAUAAUUCUCUGUCAUUGCAUUUUCUGAUGUAACAAGCUAGUUGGUGUGAAAAAUUGUUAUAGUUGUAUCUUGUAUGGCUAAGAAAAUCAUUUUCAUUCCCCAUCGCUUCGUUGUCAUGUUUUUUAUCAACUCAUUUUGGAGUUAAAUGCUUCAAAAAUCACCGAAC